rnacentral:rRNA from 1 species
GGUUAAGCGACUAAGCGUACACGGUGGAUGCCCUGGCAGUCAGAGGCGAUGAAGGACGUGCUAAUCUGCGAAAAGCGCCGGCGAGGUGAUAUGAACCCUUGACCCGGCGAUGUCCGAAUGGGGAAACCCAGUGCAAUCCGUUGCACUAUCGUUAACUGAAUACAUAGGUUAACGAGGCGAACCGGGGGAACUGAAACAUCUAAGUACCCCGAGGAAAAGAAAUCAACCGAGAUUCCCCCAGUAGCGGCGAGCGAACGGGGAGCAGCCCGGAGUCUGAAUCAGCUUGUGUGUUAGUGGAACGGUCUGGAAAGUCCGACGGUACAGGGUGAUAGUCCCGUACACGAAAGCACACUUGCUGUGAACUCGAAGAGUAGGGCGGGACACGUGGUAUCCUGUCUGAAUAUGGGGGGACCAUCCUCCAAGGCUAAAUACUCCUGACUGACCGAUAGUGAACCAGUACCGUGAGGGAAAGGCGAAAAGAACCCCGGCGAGGGGAGUGAAAAAGAACCUGAAACCGUGUACGUACAAGCAGUGGGAGCCUCUUUAUGGGGUGACUGCGUACCUUUUGUAUAAUGGGUCAGCGACUUAUAUUCUGUAGCAAGGUUAACCGUAUAGGGGAGCCGAAGGGAAACCGAGUCUUAACUGGGCGUUAAGUUGCAGGGUAUAGACCCGAAACCCGGUGAUCUAGCCAUGGGCAGGUUGAAGGUUGGGUAACACUAACUGGAGGACCGAACCGACUAAUGUUGAAAAAUUAGCGGAUGACCUGUGGCUGGGGGUGAAAGGCCAAUCAAACCGGGAGAUAGCUGGUUCUCCCCGAAAGCUAUUUAGGUAGCGCCUCGUGAACUCAUCUUCGGGGGUAGAGCACUGUUUCGGCUAGGGGGCCAUCCCGGCUUACCAACCCGAUGCAAACUACGAAUACCGAAGAAUGUUAUCACGGGAGACACACGGCGGGUGCUAACGUCCGUCGUGAAGAGGGAAACAACCCAGACCGCCAGCUAAGGUCCCAAAGUCAUGGUUAAGUGGGAAACGAUGUGGGAAGGCACAGACAGCCAGGAUGUUGGCUUAGAAGCAGCCAUCAUUUAAAGAAAGCGUAAUAGCUCACUGGUCGAGUCGGCCUGCGCGGAAGAUGUAACGGGGCUAAACCAUGCACCGAAGCUGCGGCAGCGACACUAUGUGUUGUUGGGUAGGGGAGCGUUCUGUAAGCCGUUGAAGGUGGCCUGUGAGGGUUGCUGGAGGUAUCAGAAGUGCGAAUGCUGACAUAAGUAACGAUAAAGCGGGUGAAAAGCCCGCUCGCCGGAAGACCAAGGGUUCCUGUCCAACGUUAAUCGGGGCAGGGUGAGUCGACCCCUAAGGCGAGGCCGAAAGGCGUAGUCGAUGGGAAACAGGUUAAUAUUCCUGUACUUGGUGUUACUGCGAAGGGGGGACGGAGAAGGCUAUGUCAGCCGGGCGACGGUUGUCCCGGUUUAAGCAUGUAGGCGGAGGUUCCAGGUAAAUCCGGUACCUUAUUAACGCUGAGGUGUGAUGACGAGGCACUACGGUGCUGAAGUGAUAAAUGCCCUGCUUCCAGGAAAAGCCUCUAAGCAUCAGGUAACACGAAAUCGUACCCCAAACCGACACAGGUGGUCAGGUAGAGAAUACCAAGGCGCUUGAGAGAACUCGGGUGAAGGAACUAGGCAAAAUGGUGCCGUAACUUCGGGAGAAGGCACGCUGAUGUGUAGGUGAAGCCCCUGCGGGUGGAGCUGAAAUCAGUCGAAGAUACCAGCUGGCUGCAACUGUUUAUUAAAAACACAGCACUGUGCAAACACGAAAGUGGACGUAUACGGUGUGACGCCUGCCCGGUGCCGGAAGGUUAAUUGAUGGGGUUAGCGGCAACGCGAAGCUCUUGAUCGAAGCCCCGGUAAACGGCGGCCGUAACUAUAACGGUCCUAAGGUAGCGAAAUUCCUUGUCGGGUAAGUUCCGACCUGCACGAAUGGCGUAAUGAUGGCCAGGCUGUCUCCACCCGAGACUCAGUGAAAUUGAACUCGCUGUGAAGAUGCAGUGUACCCGCGGCAAGACGGAAAGACCCCGUGAACCUUUACUAUAGCUUGACACUGAACACUGGUCCUUGAUGUGUAGGAUAGGUGGGAGGCUUUGAAGCGUGGACGCCAGUCUGCGUGGAGCCAACCUUGAAAUACCACCCUUUAAUGGCUGGUGUUCUAACGUAGACCCGUAAUCCGGGUUGCGGACAGUGUCUGGUGGGUAGUUUGACUGGGGCGGUCUCCUCCCAAAGAGUAACGGAGGAGCACGAAGGUUGGCUAAUCCUGGUCGGACAUCAGGAGGUUAGUGCAAUGGCAUAAGCCAGCUUGACUGCGAGCGUGACGGCGCGAGCAGGUGCGAAAGCAGGUCAUAGUGAUCCGGUGGUUCUGAAUGGAAGGGCCAUCGCUCAACGGAUAAAAGGUACUCCGGGGAUAACAGGCUGAUACCGCCCAAGAGUUCAUAUCGACGGCGGUGUUUGGCACCUCGAUGUCGGCUCAUCACAUCCUGGGGCUGAAGUAGGUCCCAAGGGUAUGGCUGUUCGCCAUUUAAAGUGGUACGCGAGCUGGGUUUAGAACGUCGUGAGACAGUUCGGUCCCUAUCUGCCGUGGGCGCUGGAGAAUUGAGGGGGGCUGCUCCUAGUACGAGAGGACCGGAGUGGACGCAUCACUGGUGUUCGGGUUGUCAUGCCAAUGGCACUGCCCGGUAGCUAAAUGCGGAAGAGAUAAGUGCUGAAAGCAUCUAAGCACGAAACUUGCCCCGAGAUGAGUUCUCCCUGAGACCUUGAGUCUCCUGAAGGAACGUUGAAGACGACGACGUUGAUAGGUCGGGUGUGUAAGCGCAGCGAUGCGUUGAGCUAACCGAUACUAAUGAACCGUGAGGCUUAACCUU